rnacentral:rRNA from 1 species
GACGAACGCUGGCGGCGUGCCUAACACAUGCAAGUCGAACGGAAAUAUGAUUUCGGUUGUAUUUUAGUGGCGAACGGGUGAGUAACGCGUGAGCAACCUGACCUUCAGAGGGGGAUAACACUUGGAAACAGGUGCUAAUACCGCAUAAGACCACGACAUGACAUCAGGAUGAGGUCAAAGGAGCAAUCCGCUGAGGGAGGGGCUCGCGUCCCAUUAGAUAGAUGGCGGGGUAACGGCCCACCAUGUCGACGAUGGGUAGCCGAGCUGAGAGGCUCAUCGGCCACACUGGAACUGAGACACGGUCCAGACUCCUACGGGAGGCAGCAGUGGGGAAUAUUGGGCAAUGGGCGCAAGCCUGACCCAGCAACGCCGCGUGAGGGAAGAAGGCCUUCGGGUUGUAAACCUCUGUCCUUGGUGACGAAACAAAUGACGGUGGCCAAGGAGGAAGCCCCGGCUAACUACGUGCCAGCAGCCGCCGUAA